GAUGAACGCUGGCGGCGUGCCUAAUACAUGCAAGUCGAGCGAACGGACGAGAAGCUUGCUUCUCUGAUGUUAGCGGCGGACGGGUGAGUAACACGUGGAUAACCUACCUAUAAGACUGGGAUAACUUCGGGAAACCGGAGCUAAUACCGGAUAAUAUUUUGAACCGCAUGGUUCAAAAGUGAAAGACGGUCUUGCUGUCACUUAUAGAUGGAUCCGCGCUGCAUUAGCUAGUUGGUAAGGUAACGGCUUACCAAGGCAACGAUGCAUAGCCGACCUGAGAGGGUGAGCGGCCACACUGGAACUGAGACACGGUCCAGACUCCUACGGGAGGCAGCAGUAGGGAAUCUUCCGCAAUGGGCGAAAGCCUGACGGAGCAACGCCGCGUGAGUGAUGAAGGUCUUCGGAUCGUAAAACUCUGUUAUUAGGGAAGAACAUAUGUGUAAGUAACUGUGCACAUCUUGACGGUACCUAAUCAGAAAGCCACGGCUAACUACG
rnacentral:rRNA from 1 species